rnacentral:misc_RNA from 1 species
ACAAACUUGGUCAUUUAGAGGAAGUAAAAGUCGUAACAAGGUCUCCGUUGGUGAACCAGCGGAGGGAUCAUUACUGAGUUUGGUACUCAACACCCACUGUGAACCUAUACCCCAUGUUGUUGCUUUGGCGGACGGGGGGCUCGGGCAUGCCUUGGCGUGCGCGAUGUCUCCCUGUGGCCCCUUUCGGGGGGUGUCCGCCGACAGCGCCCUAUACUCUGUUGCCAUUGUCUCUAGUGUAUUUGUCUGAUUCUUGCUUCCAAGCAAACGCUAAAAACUUUCAACAACGGAUCUCUUGGCUGUGGCAUCGAUGAAGAACGCAGC